UACAGGGGGUGCAAACGUUGCUCGGAAUCAUUGGGCGUAAAGCGCACGUAGGCGGUCUGUUAUGUCGGAUGUGAAAGCCCUUGGCUCAACUGAGGAAGUGCAUCCGAAACUGGCAGGCUAGAGUACUAAAGAGGAUCGCGGAAUUCCCGGUGUAGAGGUGAAAUUCGUAGAUAUCGGGAGGAACACCGGUGGCGAAGGCGGCGAUCUGGGUAGAUACUGACGCUGAGGCGCGAAAGCUAGGGGAGCGAACGGG
rnacentral:rRNA from 1 species